ACUGUCGCUGCUAGUUGUAUCAUGAUCCAGGAUGACCGGGGAAGGACUCGGAGGAGGAAGACUGAACUGCUGGGGACCUGGAAUGUAGAAGAUCAUCGUUAAGCGUACAAUUUGGUGACAUGGGUAAAGCUCCAACUGUAAAAGGUUCAGCACAUCCCUCUUGCCCCUCAAACGCUUCAAGAGAAAGCUAUGAGGCAAAAGCCAGCUUCUUCCCUCCUCUGCCAAGCCAGUUGAAUUUCAGCGCAAAGUGGUUGGUGAGGAUGUGGCGAAGGAUUCUUCGAACCGCGUCACCAGGAUUGCAGCCCCCAAGCGCACUAAGGUGUGCUGCCUGCAGAUAGAGUGUCUGCUGCUGCUGCUGCUGUAGUUUUUUGCCUAGUAAGGGCCUGGAGGAGGAGGUUGUUCUGCCUCACCAAGGCCUUCAACUCCUCCACAGCACGCAGGAGUGCAUGAUCCCGUUCUACAGGACAGAAAAACAUCAUGACUGUCAUGUCAAGAGGUGCUCCUGGUUUGGGCUUUUUUCAGGUUCAUACGCGCUGCAUCAUAAUUGGCUGUUGAAGACAACAAUGAAGUCUCAUCUGGCAUAGCGCUUUGGAUGACUGCAAUUUUCGUCCGCUUGGUGUCUUUAUACGGUGGCCAAAAAGACACCUUGCCGUCCAAACUUAGCCACGAGCAAGGCACAACCUCCACCUCGUUUGACUCGGUUCCCAACCACAGCUGUCCCCAGUGCAGUUGAAUCAACAGGGUGGUUGAAAAAUGGACGUUGGUCUAAAUAUUGCCUCGCCACAAAAGACGUACUACAAAAGAAGUGUCCUGCUAAUUGCCUCUAUUUUAAAAGUGGCACCACCACACGAAACUGUGUUGUUCCCAUCCUUUGUGGACAGGUUCCCAUCUCUCAGACUUACCUGAUCCUCCAUCCAAACUCUGAUGUUGGAAUCCAUGCUGUCCAGUCCAUGUGAAGAGCACAGGAAGGCUUGUUGCAGCACACUUAAUAGUAGGGUAUCACCAUAUGUCUGGUUGAGCUCCACAAAAGAUCUCGUCUGGCUCAGCUGUUUGAAGCGCAUCUACCUAAAUGUGUCAUCACAGUGGUCUCCUUCUCUCCCUCCCCACCUCCCUCUCUCCCUCCCCACCUCCCUCUCUCCCUCCCCACCUCCCUCUCUCCCUCCCCACCUCCCUCUCUCCCUCCCCACCUCUCUCCCUCCCUCCCUCCCUUAUCACUCCUAGGCACACCAGGUGCAAAGUCCAGCACAGAUUGGGUCACCAAGCCUACAUCUAGGUGUUGUAAUGGACUGUCCGCUUUUAAAGCCUAAGAGGAGAAAAGUGACCUGGGCCCUCUUGCAUGCACCUUUCGCAGUCGUAAUAGGAAUUGUGUGCUUUUAUUUUUUUUAGAAAUGCCCAUGCCUGUGCAUCACAGACAAAACAGGAAAUUUCGAUUUUAAUUAGAACAGUAACCCGGCUUGCGGAGGUACCUUCCCUUACACCCAAACUCCUUUUCUGUACAUAGUUUCUCAUUUAUUUAUUUUGUCUGUUCAGUCAAAUUGCAAAGAUUUUAUUUAUAUAUUGCAUUUCAUUUUCAUCAGUUGUUUGCACUGACAUACACAUGACAAUUAAAACUUGCGUUGUACUAUUUUA